rnacentral:rRNA from 1 species
GAUGAACGCUGGCGGCGUGCCUAAUACAUGCAAGUCGAGCGAACGGACGAUAAGCUUGCUGCUCUGAUGUUUGCGGCGGACGGGUGAGUAACACGUGGAUACCCUACCUAUAAGACUGGGUUAACUUCGGGAAACCGGAGCUAAUACCGGAUGAUAUUUUGAACCGCAUUGUUCAAAAGUGAAAGACGGACUUGCUGUCACUUAUAGAUGGAUCCGCGCUGCAUUAGCUAGUGGGUAAGGUAACGGAUUACCAAGGCAAGGAUGCAUAGCCGAGCUGAGAGGGGGGUCGGCCAGACUGGAACUGAGACAAGGUCCAGCCCACAACGGGAGGCAGCAGUGGAGAAGCGUCCGCAAUGGGCGGAAGCCUGACGGAGCAACGCCGCGUGAGGGAUGAAGGUCUUGGGAUCGUAUAACACUGUUAUUAGGGAAGAACAUAUGUGUAAGUAGCUGUUCACAUCUUGACGGUACCUAAUCAGAAAGCCACGGCUAACUACGUG